CAGCAGCCACGGGAAUACGAAGGGUGCAAGCGUUAAUCGGAAUUACUGGGCGUAAAGCGUGCGCAGGCGGUUCGCUAAGACAGAUGUGAAAUCCCCGGGCUUAACCUGGGAACUGCAUUUGUGACAGGCGGGCUAGAGUAUGGCAGAGGGGGGUAGAAUUCCACGUGUAGCAGUGAAAUGCGUAGAGAUGUGGAGGAAUACCGAUGGCGAAGGCAGCCCCCUGGGCCAAUACUGACGCUCAUGCACGAAAGCGUGGGGAGCAAACAGGAUUAGAUACCCGCGUAGUCCCUGUCUCUUAUAC
rnacentral:rRNA from 1 species